GAAGAAGACAAGAUUUCAAAUCGGGAAUGAAAAUUAUAAAAAUAGCACUUUGAACAACACAUGCUCCAGCUCCAGACUGUUGUUGUCACCACUGUGUGCUGCCCCAACUCUUCCCAGAUGCCAGCUCUCCACCUUGAGUUGUGUGGUUGCACCCGGGCAGCAGUCCUCAACCUGAGAAUUGACAAAGGGAUGUUACUGCUCUCCGUGGGCCCUCCUUUGACAUACCCAAAGAAAAGUGAAGUUAUACAAACAAAGAUUGAAGCUCUAUUCCCAGGGGAUUCUAGGUUGGACCAAGUUGACAGUAAAAGGAUCUGCAGUGCUGGAGCAGUGGAGCAGGUCUUCCUCUAAAGAGCUGCAUCUAAUCUCAGGCCGGAGGCCUCUGCAUUCUCAGCCAAGGUCUCCACCAAGCCAAGCCGCCUGCCCAAGCAAGCCAGGACACUCUCAUCCCUGCAAAAACCAGCCGGAGCUCUCACCUCCUGCCCUUUUCCCUUCAGCCCUGGGCCAGAGCCAGCUCUGAGGGUCCCCACUCCAUUCUCAGUUCUUCUGUGGCAUCCAACAGCAUCUGCAGUGCUCAAGAGUAUGAAUCUCCCUCCAUGUAGCCCGGGGACCCCCAAGCUAGACUCCUGCAGUUUCACAGGGACCUCAGACUUUGCCUCCCAACCCCUGGAGCAGGGUCCUGCAGCUUCUCACAGCCCAACGCCUGCCUGGCAGUGGCGUGGGGUGUAUGCAGUCAAAGGACAUGGCAUACCAUUUUAACCCACACUCUGGUAACAAAGAAGCAUCAUGGUAUAAAAAAAUGUGGAUAAAUGCUGAGUAGUUCACAGCAGUCAGGAAUGAAAAUAGGGCAGGGCAACAAGAGAGGGGAAGGGCAAAUAGAAUGGAAUGGAAUAGAGAUAGAGUUAGAGAGUUGAGGUUAACAGAGCCUGAGGUUGUAAGUCACUACAUGGGUAGCUGCUGGAAACAGUAUAUACAAGAGCAGGAUGUACUUCUUGUAACUGGUAAACAAAGAGAUUUGAGAAUAUUAAAACAUGUAAGUCUGUCCCAU
rnacentral:lncRNA from 1 species